ACCAGCUAGAGGGUGGACCAGCUAGAGGGUGGGUGUCUGACCUGCUGAGGGGGCGGGGCCAGGGCCUAGGGACGGGGCCUGGAGAAUAAGAGUGGCACCACUGAAGACCAGGCUUACGCCCAAGGACAGAGCCCAGGCUCAGGAAGCAAGAGCUAAUUAAACAUUCACCUGUGAUGUGCCAGACUCAGGUGUCCGUGAACAAAAUGGCAAAGAUGCCGGAAGAUCCUGCCCUCUUUGGGUCCUGAUUCCUUGAGGGCGAAAAGCUAACCGAGCUGUGUUAAAUAAGAGAUUUUAGAGCCCUUAAGACUGGUUUUAGUGCACAGGAAAAAAAAAACAAAACUCGAAAUAA